AUACCACCAACCCAUAAGUUAGAAUUCAAGACAACACUAUAGUUCUUUGAAAUAAAAAAUGAAGGCCGUCACUUGUGUUUUAAUCGCCCUGAUUGUUCUUUUCGCUGGUAUCGAAAAUGGAGAGCUAGUGAAAGUAACAGAGGCAAGCGCAUGGCCUAAUCCAAAUUAUUGUGACACUGCAAUCUACAUGGAUUGUGCAAGCAUUGCCCAGUGUGACGCUGAUUGCCGCAAAAGAUUCGGAGGUCUAGCUCGUGGAAUGUGCAAUAAUAUACAAGAUUGUUCAUGCCAUCAUCCAUGUUAAGUGUUUGGCCUCUUGCCUACAAAAUGCCCUAAUGAUUGUUAGUUCAGAAUUUGGUGGAUUUUUAAGAUAAUAAAAUUACAUUUCGAUAGUUUUAUUA